AACGAACGCUGGCGGCAUGCCUAACACAUGCAAGUCGAACGAACUCUUCGGAGUUAGUGGCGCACGGGUGCGUAACGCGUGGGAAUCUGCCCUUAGGUUCGGAAUAACUCAGAGAAAUUUGAGCUAAUACCGGAUGAUGACGUAAGUCCAAAGAUUUAUCGCCUAAGGAUGAGCCCGCGUAGGAUUAGCUUGUUGGUGAGGUAAAAGCUCACCAAGGCGACGAUCCUUAGCUGGUCUGAGAGGAUGAUCAGCCACACUGGGACUGAGACACGGCCCAGACUCCUACGGGAGGCAGCAGUGGGGAAUAUUGGACAAUGGGCGAAAGCCUGAUCCAGCAAUGCCGCGUGAGUGAUGAAGGCCCUAGGGUUGUAAAGCUCUUUUACCCGGGAUGAUAAUGACAGUACCGGGAGAAUAAGCACCGGCUAACUACGUGCCAGCCGCCGCGGUAACAC
rnacentral:rRNA from 1 species